rnacentral:rRNA from 1 species
UACGGGGGGGGCAAGCGUUGUUCGGAAUUACUGGGCGUAAAGGGCUCGUAGGUGGCCAACUAAGUCAGACGUGAAAUCCCUCGGCUUAACCGGGGAACUGCGUCUGAUACUGGAUGGCUUGAGUUCGGGAGAGGGAUGCGGAAUUCCAGGUGUAGCGGUGAAAUGCGUAGAGAUCGGGAGGAACACCAGUGGCGAAGGCGGCUUGCUGGGCCGGACCUGACGCUGAGACGCGAAGGCGUGGGGAGCGAACGGG